AUUGAACGCUGGCGGCAUGCUUUACACAUGCAAGUCGAACGGUAACAGGGUGCUUGCACCGCUGACGAGUGGCGAACGGGGGAGUAAUGCGUCGGAACGUGCCGAGUAGUGGGGGAUAACGCAGCGAAAGUUGUGCUAAUACCGCAUACGUACUGAGGUAGAAAGUGAGGGACCUUCGGGCCUCACGCUAUUCGAGCGGGCGACGUCUGAUUAGCUAGUAGGUGGGGUAAAGGCUCACCUAGGCGACGAUCAGUAGCGGGUCUGAGAGGAUGAUCCGCCACACUGGGACUGAGACACGGCCCAGACUCCUACGGGAGGCAGCAGUGGGGAAUUUUGGACAAUGGGCGAAAGCCUGAUCCAGCCAUGCCGCGUGUCUGAAGAAGGCCUUCGGGUUGUAAAGGACUUUUGUCAGGGAGGAAAUCCCUAGUGCUAAUAACACUGGGGGAUGACAGUACCUGAAGAAUAAGCACCGGCUAACUACGUGCCAGCAGCCGCAGUAA
rnacentral:rRNA from 1 species